GCGGAUCCGCGGCCGCUGCAGAGUUUGAUCCUGGCUCAGAACGAACGCUGGCGGCGUGCCUAACACAUGCAAGUCGGACGGACUUAUGUCUGAAGGGUAACUGGAGGGUGUAAGUUAGUGGCGCACGGGUGAGUAACACGUAGAUAACCUACCCUUAAGAGGGGGACAACACAGGGAAACUUGUGCUAAUACCGCAUAAGGCCACGGGUUGGGAUACUUGUGGUAAAAGGGUGGCGACACCGCUUAGGGAUGGGUCUGCGGCCUAUCAGGUAGUUGGUGGGGUAAUGGCCUACCAAGCCUAAGACGGGUAACCGGACUGAGAGGUUGGACGGUCACACUGGAACUGAGAUACGGUCCAGACUCCUACGGGAGGCAGCAGUGGGGAAUUUUGCACAAUGGGCGGAAGCUGAUGCAGCGACGCGCGUGGAGGAAGAAGCCUUCGGGUUGUAAAUCCUUUUAUAGGGGGCAAUGGUGAUGGUACCCUAUGAAUAAGCCACGGCUAACUCUGUGCCAGCAGCCCCGGUAAGACAAAGGUGGCGAGCCUUGUUCCGAAUUACUGGGCUUAAACGGCGCGUAGCCCGUUAUACAAAUCUGUGGUGGAAUCUCAUGUCUUACCAGGGGUCUCCCGUGUAAACUGUAUGACUUGAGUUCGUGAGGCGCAAAGCGAAAUAUCUUGUAUAGCCAUGAAAUGCGUAAAUAUCAGAUAGAACGCCUGUUGCGGAACCUGCCUUCUGACGCUUAACUGACCCU
rnacentral:rRNA from 1 species